rnacentral:RNase_P_RNA from 1 species
GGUGCAAGUUACCUUGUCGCUCCGAGAUUAAUUUCGGAGAGGAAAGUCCGGACAGCAUAGGGCAGCCUGCUACCUAACGGGUAGACAUUUCUACGGAAGUGCUAGCAAGUGCAGCAGAAAGUAUACCGCCACGCUUUGGUGUGGUAAGGGUGAAAGGGUGAGGUAAGAGCUCACCGGUGUCGGUGGCAACAUCGGCAGCCAGGUAAACCUCAGGCGCUGAAAGACCAUGUAUACCCCGGCUUGAGUGCGGCUCGUGCGAUCGGGGAGGGUAGGUUGAUAGAGGUAAUCGGUGACGGUUAUCCCAGAUAAAUGACAAGGCACGACAAAAUCCGGCUUAUCGACUUGUACAAACA